rnacentral:rRNA from 1 species
UACGUAGGGUGCGAGCGUUAAUCGGAAUUACUGGGCGUAAAGCGUGUGUAGGCGGUUCCUCAAGUCCGUUGUGAAAGCCCCGGGCUCAACCUGGGAAUGGCAGUGGAAACUAGGGGACUGGAAUCUGGCAGAGGGGGGUGGAAUGCCGCAUGUAGCAGUGAAAUGCGUAGAGAUGCGGCGGAACACCGAUGGCGAAGGCAGCCCCCUGGGCUGAGAUUGACGCUCAGGCACGAAAGCGUGGGGAGCAAACAGG